UAGGGAAUCUUCCGCAAUGGACGAAAGUCUGACGGAGCAACGCCGCGUGAGUGAAGAAGGAUUUCGGUUCGUAAAACUCUGUUGUUAGGGAAGAAAAAAUGUAUAGUAACUAUAUACAAAAGAGACGGUACCUAACCAGAAAGCCACGGCUAACUACGUGCCAGCAGCCGCGGUAAUACGUAGGUGGCAAGCGUUGUCCGGAAUUAUUGGGCGUAAAGCGCGCGCGGGUGGUUUAGAAAGUCUGAUGUGAAAGCCCACGGCUCAACCGUGGAGGGUCAUUGGAAACUAAUAAACUUGAGUGCAGGAGAGAAAAGUGGAAUUCCUAGUGUAGCGGUGAAAUGCGUAGAGAUUAGGAGGAACACCGGUGGCGAAGGCGACUUUCUGGACUUUUACUGACGCUCAGGUACGAAAGCGUGGGGAGCAAACAGG
rnacentral:rRNA from 1 species